CGGUGAGUUAGGUAACAAAAGAGAAAGAAAGACUGAUUUAUAUAAAGCCUUUGAGUCAGUUAGGAUAUGAGGAAUGUGGUAUGGUGAGUUAGGUAACAAAAGAGAAAGAAAGACUGAUUUAUAUACAGCCUUUGAGUCAGUUAGGAUAUGAGGAAUGUGGUACGGUGAAUUCGACAGGCAACAAAAGAGAAAGAAAGACUGAUUUAUAUAAAGCCUUUGAGUCAGGUAGGAUAUGAGGAAUGUGGUACGGUGAAUUAGACAGGUAACAAAAGAGAAAGAAAGACUGAUUUAUAUAAAGCCUUUGAGUCAGUUAGGAUAUGAGGAAUGUGGUACGGUGAGUUAGACAGGUAACAAAAGAGAAAGAAAGACUGAUUUAUAUACAGCCUUUGAGUCAGUUAGGAUAUGAGGAAUGUGGUACGGUGAAUUAGACAGGUAACAAAAGAGAAAGAAAGACUGAUUUAUAUAAAGCCUUUGAGUCAGUUAGGAUAUGAGCAAUGUGGUACGGUGAAAUAGACAGGUAACAAAAGAGAAAGAAAGACUGAUUUAUAUAAAGCCUUUGAGUCAGUUAGGAUAUGAGGAAUGUGGUAGU